UCCGUCGACCCCUUCUGCUUUUGGUCUCGCUUUCAUUAUUUGCUUUCUACCUCAUCCCCAUUUUCAUUUAUUCCUCACGCCUCUUCCCAUCAUCAUCACCAAUCCAUCAUCCAACGUCCACCAAUUUCUCCACUCACUCUCUUCCUCGCAGCCACAGAAGCCCACGAACGAAGCCUCCAUUGAGUCAAACUUCCUUGGCCUAUUUUGAUUGUUGACUCCUCUUGCCGGGCAUCCUUCAAUCCACGAGACUGCAGCUCCACCACUUCCUCUCUCUCUCGUUGAACCCUCUGCCAUCUCACGUCCAAAGUUCCAUCCCUCUUCUCCACCGAAAUUCAACGCCAGAUGAAGACCACCGAAGCCAUGAAACAGCUUCCGUUCAUCCACCGAGCUCCCAUCUCUUCACAUGCUGCCUGCCACUCCACGCCAGCGCCGUUUGAAGACCGAGCAAACCAACGCCUCCACGAUUUCCAUUUGUCUAGCAACCGAAUCUACACGUCCCAGCUUCUUCGGUCAAAACCCCAAGUCGAAGCCCUUCCAUCGUCAACCGAAGCCAUCCCACGAAUCGUCCAGCAGCUUCGGUCUUUUUCAGCUCGUGGAUCAGCCGCAACAAAGCCCGCAGCACAUCCAACCUGUUCUCAGCCCAGUUGAAGUCUUCAAGUCCAGCAAGUGUCUUCAGCCCAUUGGAUUUCGGCCCAGUCUAGCAAAGCCCAACAAGAGCAGAAGCCCGCAAUUUUGAGGCCCAAGCCCGCGAAGUCAGCCCGCUUCAAGCCCGGUCCAAUUCAGAAGCAAAUCUCAGCUUGGGCUGAGAUUUGUUGGGCCUGUUUUAGGCCCGGCCCGAGUGUUCGCCG
rnacentral:lncRNA from 1 species